UGGGGAAUUUUGGACAAUGGGGGGAACCCUGAUCCAGCGAUGCCGCGUGAAUGAGGACGGCCUUCGGGUUGUAAAGUUCUUUCACCUGUGAAGAUAAUGACGUUAACAGGAGAAGAAGCCCCGGCUAACUCCGUGCCAGCAGCCGCGGUAAGACGGAGGGGGCUAGCGUUGUUCGGAAUGACUGGGCGUAAAGGGCGCGUAGGCGGUUAGAUAAGUCAGACGUGAAAUCCUUGGGCUUAACCCAAGAAGAGCGUCUGAAACUGUCUGACUUGAGGACGAGAGAGGAAAGUGGAAUUCCGGGUGUAGAGGUGAAAUUCAUAAAUAUCCGGAGGAAUACCAGAGGCGAAGGCGUCUUUCUGGAUCGUUUCUGACGCUGAGGUGCGAAAGCGUGGGUAGCAAA
rnacentral:rRNA from 1 species